rnacentral:misc_RNA from 1 species
AAGUCGUAACAAGGUUUCCGUAGGUGAACCUGCUGGAGGAUUAAUUAAUGAGACCAUAGCCCGGUUCGGGGUAGACCUCCCACCCCCAGCUGUUUAGCCGUAGCCCGUUGCUUUGGCGGUCCCGUCGCAAGACGGGCCGCCAGAGGACCUUUCAAACCCGUAUUAUCAUUGUCGUCUGAGUACUAUACAAUAGUUAAAA